GAUGAACGCUGACAGAAUGCUUAACACAUGCAAGUCCACUUGAACUUCGGUUUGGGUGGCGGACGGGUGAGUAACGCGUAAAGAACUUGCCUCACAGCUAGGGACAACAUUUGGAAACGAAUGCUAAUACCUGAUAUUAUGAUUUUAGGGCAUCCUAGAAUUAUGAAAGCUAUAUGCGCUGUGAGAGAGCUUUGCGUCCCAUUAGCUAGUUGGAGAGGUAACGGCUCACCAAGGCGAUGAUGGGUAGCCGGCCUGAGAGGGUGAACGGCCACAAGGGGACUGAGACACGGCGCUGACUCCGAAGGGAGGCAGCAGUGGGGAAUAUUGGACAAUGGACCAAGAGUCUGAUCCAGCAAUUCUGUGUGCACGAUGAAGUUUUUCGGAAUGUAAAGUGCUUUCAGUUGGGAAGAAAAAAAUGACGGUACCAACAGAAGAAGUGACGGCUAAAUACGUG
rnacentral:rRNA from 1 species